GUAGGUGGCAAGCGUUAUCCGGAAUUAUUGGGCGUAAAGCGCGCGCAGGCGGUUUCUUAAGUCUGAUGUGAAAGCCCACGGCUCAACCGUGGAGGGUCAUUGGAAACUGGGGAGCUUGAGUGCAGAAGAGAAAAGCGGAAUUCCACGUGUAGCGGUGAAAUGCGUAGAGAUGUGGAGGAACACCAGUGGCGAAGGCGGCUUUUUGGUCUGUAACUGACGCUGAGGCGCGAAAGCGUGGGGAGCAAACAGGAUUAGAUACCCUGGUAGUCCACGCCGUAAACGAUGAGUGCUAAGUGUUAGAGGGUUUCCGCCCUUUAGUGCUGCAGCUAACGCAUUAAGCACUCCGCCUGGGAGUACGGUCGCAAGACUG
rnacentral:rRNA from 1 species